UCCUAGGGUGUGCAUUCAAGGGCCUUUCC
rnacentral:piRNA from 1 species